UCCCAAAGACCUUCUAACAUCUCGCCAUUCCGCUCACGGAAGUCUCCGGGGUUGUUGCCGGCCUCCAGCCCGAGCGAGCGAUCUACAACUCCUUCUUCAAUGGCGUCUUCGAGACCUCUGUCGAAGGUUUUGAUUUCUCCGAUGACAAUUGCUAGUUGUAACCCGAGCCCUUCCACUCCUCCACUUGACUGGUUCGAUGUCUUGAAGGCUAAAGAAAAUGUGACGGUCACGGUUAGGUUUCGACCUCUGAGGUAAGGGUACAGCGAGGGGCAGACCGACGAGGGGCAAGAAGGAUGCGUGAAGGCCAUAUGGACGCAUCUGGUUUUCUUUAUGCUUCCGCUGAUGUAUUUUUGUUACUCUCUAUUUUCACUGUCAGAUCGAGUCACGGUUAGAAUAUUUGGUUUUGUGAUUUUGUGUUUGAUGAUUUGAGUACUGUAUUUUGAAACUCUCGUGACUGUGAUUUAAAAUAGGGCCCGAAACUGCUUUUGUAAUAUUAUAAAACGUUUUUAAUGAAUUGUAACCGGUCCUUUAUGAGUUUGUGUGUCUUGUGGUCGAGUCUUAGUACUGAGUAGUGACCUCAGCUUAGUUCGGAAAGUUGGGUCGUUACAUUCUAUAAUUUUUUUGACAUAGUUGUGUUAUUUAGUGGCUGUUCAGUUGUUCCUCGGACCCGUGUAUCAGUAAAUUUGUUAUUCUUCUUUCAAA